rnacentral:tRNA from 1 species
GCUCCCAUAGCUCAACGGCAGAGCACCUCGCUUAUAUCGAGUAGGUUCCAGGUUCGAAUCCUGGUGGGAGCA